AAAAAAAAAAAAGACAGCUCAGAGAUAAUCCCUGCUGCACCUACGGAGACCCCCAACGUCUCAAUGUCCAGGCUGGAGGAAAUGGAUGGUAGAUAACUGAGGUCAGCUGUUGGUGUUACCCUGGAGGAAGACCCUGGGGAUGGCAUGAUGAAGAAGAAACCACAGCCCCCACGACCAGACAACUGCCUUCCAGAUCACUUGAUUCGACCAGGAGGGACGAGCUCAGACCAGGAGGGACGAGCUCAGACCAGGAGGGACGAGCUCAGACCAGGAGGGACGAGCUCAGACCAGGAGGAGCUCAGACCAGGAGGGACGAGCUCAGACCAGGAGGGACGAGCUCAGACCAGGACAGAUAGUUGUUACAAUUUGCACAAAUUCUACAGAUAGAGAGACCUCUUAGAAAACAAUGGCUGAACCCCUUCCACAAAGCAAGGGUCGCGUGGCACUCCUCGAGUGGAAGGCCAAGCAGUUCAAUGAGCUACUUGAAAAACACAAAACGGGCUAUAACGACAACAUCAAGUCCAAAAUCAUCCAAAUAGACGCCUUGCAGGCUAAAGUCCGGGCUCUCAAGGCAGAGCUGAAAACUCGCAAGGAGAGAGAGGAAGAACAGAAAACCAAGUUCCACUUGAGGCAAGAAGAAAGGAAGAGCGCUGUCCUAGAAAAUGCCGUCUGGAUCCAAAAAUGGGAGGAGUCGGUUAAAAAACUA